UGCCAGCAGCCGCGGUAAUACGAAGGGUGCUAGCGUUGUUCGGAAUUACUGGGCGUAAAGAGCAUGUAGGCGGAUGAAUUAGUCAGAGGUGAAAGCCCCGAGCUCAACCUGGGAAUUGCAUACGAUACUGGCCGACUAGAGUACGAGAGAGGGAGGUAGAAUUCCACGUGUAGCGGUGAAAUGCGUAGAUAUGUGGAGGAACACCAGUGGCGAAGGCGGCUCACUGGCUCGAUACUGACGCUGAGGUGCGAAAGCGUGGGGAGCAAACAGGAUUAGAUA
rnacentral:rRNA from 1 species